CUAGCCGCCGAGAAGAACUUUCCUUCGCCGACUUCGAUCUGGCCUCUCCGGCCUUCGACGCUUCUCGCUGGAGCCGUGAGGGGGCCGAUUAGUAGUUUAAUUUCUUGUUUGUUGUUUUGCUUUCAAUUUUCUAGUAGAGCUGAUUUUGAAGAAGAAGAUGCGUGGAGUGCCUGAUCCUUCAACUUUGGAUCCUUCUCGAGGAGUUGCGGUUUGAUUAGAGACAGUGGUUGUUAGUUGUUUUGGAUGGCGGUGGUUUCGAGCGGGUGGUGGUGACUUCUUGCGUCAUGUGUCGGCUGAUUCGUCUUGUCCUUCAUUGGGGUGGCUGGGAGCUGGCAAGAAUCAUCACAAAGGUCUUGUCCACCGAGGACCUGUGUCUGCUUCUCAGAUCUGUCCUUAAUUGUGGCUUCUUAUGCACCUUUGGUUGGCUUUGCUUCCGGCGACCUUGGCUUCUUCAGCGAGGUUCGUUCGGCUUUGUUUCCGGCGAUCACGGCUUCAACAGCGAGGUUGUUCGGCUUUGCUUCCGGCAAUCUCGGCUACAACAGUGAGGUUGUUCGGCUACUGGUUUUGGGAAAGAGAAGCAGAUCGUCGAAGUGGUUACUUAUCAUUCAAGCUUUUGGACUUCAAUAGUUGAGGAUCUUGCAGAAGUUUCGGGUGAAUUGGAUUGCACUCAUGGCUCCGUCAGGUCGCGCGUUAAGUGUAAAGGU